rnacentral:lncRNA from 1 species
AUGAUUCCAGCACUUCAAAACCGGUGGUGUUUAAUGACUAUCAUAGUGUCCUGGGGUUAUGAUUGCCAUUUGUGCCUUUCACAGCUGACAAGCAGAAUCGAUGGAGAAGCUGACAGUAAAAGCGCAAGUUGCAGUCACGUGUCUUGCUUAACAACCAUGGGUGAUUCCCUUAACUAUUGCAAUGGAAGUGAGGAAGAUGGAUUCUGGUUGAAAAUUAAGAGAAAGCUAUUAGUAAGAACACUUCGAAAAUGAAACUACUCUCCUCCUCCUUCACUGGUUGUAGCCAAGGAGAUAAUGGACAGCCAUCUGUCAGGGAUACUUUCCAACACUAUGAUUCUAUAACUAUGACUAGAUUUAUUUCUAAAUAAAUAUAUGUCGGUGUCGCGCACACGCACGCGCCAGCCAGCACAGCUCUGUACCAUGGAAGAGGCGGAUGCGCCGGUUUGGGGAUUCUGCAGAUCAGAGGCGUGUCACCGCCGCUGCCCUGCCAGAUGACAACGUGGGUGGAGAUCCAAGUGACAGCAAUGAUCUUGACGGAUACACAGAUAUACGGGGGGAGGUGUUUUGUGUAGAACGGGAUAUUGCAGAGAAGCUGUUGGUGUUAGGAUGGGAGUUUGUGCAGUAACGGGGGUGGUUUAAAUAAUGAAGCAUAGUACUUGCUCAUAAUGAGGGUAUAAGUAAGGAGCUCCGGAUAUUAACUCCAAUGACAUAAUUGGAUAAUAAGUGGUUGUAAGGGGAAGUAUGCAUAAAUACAGGACCAUGUUUAAGCUAAGUUAGAGCUGACUUUAUUUAUUUUGCUUCACUGUUUCCUGGUGUCCUUGCAAGAAAACGAUUAAACCACCUUACAAAACUUUGAAAGACUUGGUUUUAUCAACGCAGCAGACCCAGAGGGCGGUUGAGAGUUGGAUUGAGACAGAUAAGAUCUGGUCAGUUAUUAUUAUUUUUAUUUAUUGGAUUUCUAAGCUGCCCCAUCUCCCCAAGGACUCGGGGCGGCGUACAGUAAAACAAUAUAAAUAUACAAUCAAAAGAAGAUCAAAUCUCAUAGAAACCCAAAAUAUAAUUAAAACAUUAAAACAAUUCUAAAAAUUCCCCAUAUAGCCCAUCCUCAGUCCAGGUCAGUAAGUUGGAAUAACCAUGUUUUUAGGCCCCGGUG